AGAGUUUGAUCCUGGCUCAGGAUGAACGCUAGCGGCAGGCUUAACACAUGCAAGUCGAGGGGCAGCAUGACACGGAGAUUCGUCGAAGUGUUGAUGGCGACCGGCGCAAGGGUGCGUAACGCGUGAGCAACUUGCCCGUUUCUGGGGAAUAACCGGUGGAAACGCCGACUAAUACCCCAUAGUAUAACGAAGAGGCAUCUUUUUGUUAUUAAAGAACUUCGGAAACGGAUAGGCUCGCGUGACAUUAGCUAGAUGGCGGGGUAACGGCCCACCAUGGCGACGAUGUCUAGGGGUUCUGAGAGGAAGGUCCCCCACACUGGAACUGAGACACGGUCCAGACUCCUACGGGAGGCAGCAGUGAGGAAUAUUGGUCAAUGGUCUGACGACUGAACCAGCCAUGCCGCGUGAAGGUGACGGCCCUAUGGGUUCUUUAAACUUCUUUGGUAAGGGAGCAAUAAGUCUUCACGUGUGGGAUGAUGAGAGUACCUUACGAAUAAGCAUCGGCUAACUCCGUGCCAGCAGCCGCGGU
rnacentral:rRNA from 1 species